ensembl:lncRNA
GCCCCCCUUGGGUUGUGCCGUGGCGGAGAUCUUUGUGGGCUAUACUCGGCCUUGUCUCAGGAUGUUAAUUUGGUGGUUGAAGAUAUCCCUCUAGUGGUGUGGGGGCUGUGCUUGGGCAGAGUGGGUGGGGUUAUAUCCUGCCUGUUUGGCCCUGUCUGGUGGUAUUGUCGGACGGGGCCACAGUGUCUCCCGACCCCUCCUGUCUCAGCCAGUAUUUAUGCUGCAGUAGUUUAUGUGUCGGGGGCUAAGGUCAGUCUGUUAUAUCUGGGGUAUUUCUCCUGUCUUAUCCGUUGUCCUGUGUGAAUUUAAGUAUGCUCUCUCUAAUUCUUUCUUUCUCUCUCUCGGGGGACUUGAGCCUUAGGACAUUGCCUCAGGACUACCUGGCAUGGUGACUCCUUGCUGUCCCCAGUCCACCUGGCCGUGCUGCUGCUCCAGUUUCAACUAUUCUGCCUGCGGCUAUGAACCCUGACCUGUUCACAGGACGUGCUACCUGUCCCAGACCUGCUGUUUUCAAUUCUCUAGAGACAGCAGGAGCGGUAGAGAUACUCUCAAUGAUUGGCUAUGAAAAGCCAACUGACAUUUACUCCUGAGGUGUUGACCUGUUGCACCCUCAACAACCACUGUGAUUAUUAUUAUUUGACCCUGCUGGUCAUCUAUGAACAUUUUAACAUCUUGGCCAUGUUCUGUUAUAAUCUCCACCCGGCACAGCCAGAAGAGGACUGGCCACCACUCAUAGCCUGGUUCCUCUCUAGGUUUCUUCCUAGGUUCUGGCCUUUCUAGGGAGUUUUUCCUAGCCACCGUGCUUCUACAGCUGCAUUGCUUGUUGUUUGGUGUUUUAAGCUGGGUUUCUGUACAGCACUAUGAGAUAUCAGCUGAUCAGCAGCGCCAAACCUCUGGCUGGACGAGUGGGUGGUGUCCAUAGGGUCUGGUGUAUUACCAGCAUGGACGGCUGUGGCCUUCGGAUUGAUCUUAGCCUUGAUUCUCUUCAGGUAGAGGCUGCUCCUAACAGCUGAGGAGUAGAAAAAAAUGGGGUCCAGACAGGCAUUGAAGGUGGUGAGCAGGAUGGCCUUGUGCCAAAUAGAGACUUUUUUCUGCAUGAUCUCCACUACAUGGGACGUGUUGUAUGGCCCAAAGAAGAAGGCAAAAACCAUCAGAGUCCUCAACUCCAGCCCGAUGGCACGCAGGCGCCGGUUUCCGGCCGAUGUUGCGCAACCAAGACAGAAUACGGAUGAAGUUGACGUAGCAGAAGUUGCUGAUCAGGAAGUGGACACAGAAGAGCUCCCGAGUGACGCAGCGGUCUAAGGCAAUACAUCUCAGUGCUAGAGGCGUCCCUGCAGACCCUGGUUUGAUUCCAGGUUGUAUCAUAACCAAAGUGAUUGGGAGUCCCAUAGGAUGGCGCACAAUUGGCAAAGUGUCGUCCGGGUUAGGGUUUGUCCAGGGUAGGCCGUCAUUGUAAAUAAGAAUUUGUUCUUAUCUGACUUGCCUAGUUAAAUAAAGGUUAAAUAAAUAAAAAGAGAACCAGGGACAUCUCUAAAUGUACCAGCAGACAGGUAAUAAGAUGGACAUCUGUGAAAUUCCCAUAGCAGGUUGUGUUGUUGGCAUCUGCAGUGGGCAAGGGAAAGGAUCCAGAAAACUACACAGGCCCACUGUGUGGACAACCCUACCUGGUGCUCUAAAUCUUACGGGAUACGCCACACUGAGGAAGUGCUCCACACUUGCCGGGGUCAGGAGGAGAGUGCUGUUAUAGAUAGUGGAGAAGAACAGGUAGCCAGUGACUGGACACAGGAAGUAAGGGAGGGUCCAGUUCAAAUCAUCAACAGCCUCCUUCAUCUUGAAGGACAGGAAGGCGAGGAAGAUGAGAUCGGAGAUGGUCAGGCUGGGUAGCAGAAUCUCGAUGGGUUUUGGCAGGUACCUCGAUCUGGAAGAUGGUGAUGUAGACGAACAGUGCAAAGCCGCAUGGAAUGUGAUCUGCUGGCAUUAUAUUGGCAGGUACUGUUAGCACUGCAGUCAUUACAAGAGAGAGGAGAGCAUAAUGAUAUACUGACGUUUCAACCCAAAACUGUUGGGAGACAGCUAUCUGAACGGAAUUAUUCAACUAACAUCUCAGCUGACAUUGCUGCCUCAUUCACUUCCUGUCAUGACUCCAAACUAAGAUAUUACAUGGUAGAUAUAUAAUUACAAAGUUCUGCUACUUCUUUCAUUUCUAUUGAAGUGUUUGAAGAUUAUUUUCAGGAACACCUGUCACGUUCUGACCUUAGUUCUUUUAUUAUGUCUUUGUUUUAGUAUGGUCAGGGCAUGUGUUGGGUGGGUUGUCUAUGUUCUAUGUUGUGUUUGCGUUUGGCCUGGUAUGGUUCUCAAUCAGAGGCAGGUGUCGUUAGUUGUGUCUGAUUGAGAAUCAUACUUAAGGUAGCCUUUUCCCACUUGUGUUUCGUGGGUGUUUAUUUUCUGUUCUGUGUUUUAUUUCACCGUUCAGGACUGUUCGUUUGUCGUUUAAUUGUUUUUGUUUCAGUGUUCACUAUUCGUAUUAAAAAUCAAGAUGAAC